rnacentral:rRNA from 1 species
UACAGAGGUCUCAAGCGUUGUUCGGAUUCAUUGGGCGUAAAGGGUGCGUAGGCGGCGCGGUAAGUCGGGUGUGAAAUCUCGGAGCUUAACUCCGAAACUGCAUUCGAUACUGCGGUGCUUGAGGACUGGAGAGGAGACUGGAAUUCAUGGUGUGACAGUGAAAUGCGUAGAGAUCAUGAGGAAGACCAGUGGCGAAGGCGGGUCUCUGGACAGUUCCUGACACUGAGACACGAAGGCCAGGGGAGCAAACGGGG